GCCUUGAUAGUAUAGCGGUUAGUACGUCAGUCUCAUAUCAUCUCAACAGUUGGUUAUCUGAUAACCAGGGUUCGAUUCCCUGUCAGGGCA